CUCUACGGCAUUUCCACGGAUUGUGACAAAUUGUUUCUCCUUUCGGCGGACGUCUUCUGCAUUGUUGAUUGGUAGCGUGAAUUUGGAUAACGUUAGGAAAGCAGUUAGAUUAGCCGUGUAAAACGAUAAUUAGUAACCCGUAAAUGAUCGGACCAACGGCCAGAAGCGAUAUGAGGAUCAGGAUCCACACAUCUGAGUCGAAGGGAGCCAGCAGGCCAGAACCACUGGCCGAUUCCAUUGGUCGCACCAUAAUCAUCAUCCACUCGCCUUCGUCCAGCCCGGUCGAGUAGAAUAUGUGCUGUCGGGCAUCGGACAAAAUUGGCAGAAACGCUACCGCGAUGUCGGCCUUUCCUGUCGCUAGCAGUUCGAUGAUGCUGCCCUCCAUGUCUGUGGUGGAGCCAACGAUGUUAUGCUCCGGCAUGACUAGUGUAUAGUUGAAUUUGAACUUCUCCAUAAGAAAGUCGAGCAGCUCGAAAGCUACACCACGUCCAAAUAAGGUUCCAUUGAUACGUUCGGUGUAGCUUAGCGGCCAAUCCUAACCAGAGAUGGUAGGAAAUACAUGUUGUAAUAAUUGAGAAACAACAUUAUGUUGAAACGUUUUUAAGGAAUGCUCUAUGAUAUGUUUAUCUUAGGAUGAAAAUCCCAUUAGUUCAAGCUUUAAAUAAAAAGUGGAACGAUCAAAAUUUAGCCAAAGACCUUAUUUUUUAGUAUUUUGAUCUAUAUUAUAUAAGGGAAAAAUAUUAGUUAAAUUAGUAAAAUAUAAGUUUCGCUUUGCCAAAA